AUUGAACGCUGGCGGCAGGCCUAACACAUGCAAGUCGAACGGUAACAGGAAACAGCUUGCUGUUUCGCUGACGAGUGGCGGACGGGUGAGUAAUGUCUGGGAAACUGCCUGAUGGAGGGGGGUAACUACUGGAAACGGUAGCUAAUACCGCAUAACGUCGCAAGACCAAAGAGGGGGACCUUCGGGCCUCUUGCCAUCGGAUGUGCCCAGAUGGGAUUAGCUAGUAGGUGGGGUAACGGCUCACCUAGGCGACGAUCCCUAGCUGGUCUGAGAGGAUGACCAGCCACACUGGAACUGAGACACGGUCCAGACUCCUACGGGAGGCAGCAGUGGGGAAUAUUGGACAAUGGGCGCAAGCCUGAUGCAGCCAUGCCGCGUGUAUGAAGAAGGCCUUCGGGUUGUAAAGUACCUUCAGCGGGGAGGAAGGGAGUAAAGUUAAUACCUUGACUCAUUGACGUUACCCGCAGAAGAAGCACCGGCUAACUCCGUG
rnacentral:rRNA from 1 species